AGAGUUUGAUCCUGGCUCAGAUUGAACGCUGGCGGUAUGCUUAACACAUGCAAGUCGAACGGUAACAGGCAGAGCUUGCUCUGCGCUGACGAGUGGCGGACGGGUGCGUAACGCGUGGGAAUUUACCUUGUAGUGGGGGAUAGCCCGGAGAAAUCCGGAUUAAUACCGCAUAAUCUCUACGGAGCAAAGUGGGGGAUCUUCGGACCUCACGCUAUUAGAUGAGCCCGCGUUAGAUUAGCUUGUUGGUGGGGUAAUGGCUCACCAAGGCAACGAUCUAUAGCUGGUUUGAGAGGAUGAUCAGCCACACUGGGACUGAGACACGGCCCAGACUCCUACGGGAGGCAGCAGUGGGGAAUAUUGGACAAUGGGCGCAAGCCUGAUGCAGCCAUGCCGCGUGUGUGAAGAAGGCUUUCGGGUUGUAAAGCACUUUCAGUGAGGAGGAAAAGUUAACGGUUAAUACCCGUUAGCCCUGACGUUACUCACAGAAGAAGCACCGCUAACU
rnacentral:rRNA from 1 species